UACAGAGGUCUCAAGCGUUGUUCGGAUUCAUUGGGCGUAAAGGGUGCGUAGGCGGCGAGGUAAGUCGGAUGUGAAAUCCCGGGGCUCAACCCUGGAACUGCAUUCGAUACUGCCUUGCUCGAGGACUCGAGAGGAGAUUGGAAUUCACGGUGUAGCAGUGAAAUGCGUAGAUAUCGAGAGGAACACCUGCGGCGAAGGCGGGUUGCUGGGCUGACACUGACGCUGAUGCGCGAAAGCCAGGGGAGCGAACGGG
rnacentral:rRNA from 1 species